UAUUGUUUCAAUUUAGUCUUGAUUCUACAAAAAUUAACCCUUAACGUUUACACAUUGUGUAAUUUGGUCCUUUUUCCCCUCCUAUUUUGCUUUUCUUUGUGACAAAUGAAAGUAAAACAGCAAAACAAAGACCACAUUGCACAUUGUGUAAAUGUUGAGGGUUAUUAUUUUGGAAUCAAGACUACAUUGACACAGUU
rnacentral:pre_miRNA from 1 species